rnacentral:ncRNA from 1 species
UAACAUUUGCGCCUAGCUGGUGCUAUCUAGCAGUAUAGAUGGCUGAAAAGGGAAUCUGGUGUGAAUCCAGAACUGACGCGCAGCGGUAAAAGAGAACGAACACUCAACAGACACUGCAUAGAGGAUUAUGUGGGAAGUCGAGUUAGUAGGUGGUGCAUACUGAGCUCUUAAGUCCGAAUACCUGCCAGCAGCUGAGCCAAUCA